CCCGAGGGAGGAGAGUGACCUCAGCGCCAGAGAAGCAUCUGCUCGCAGAGCGAGGGCGGACCGCACUGGAGGCGCCCCUUCUCUCCCUCUCCCCGUCCGAGCUUCGGCUCUCUGCAGCGGCCGUGGCCGGCCGGGGGGCUGUCCUGGGCGUAAAUUGGAGCUCUGGGCUCCCUCGGGGACCAUCUGCCGCCCACAGCCCAGCUGCCAGCCCUCCUGCCGCUCCUGCUGGGUCAUGGGAGCCCCAAGUCACACCACCACCUGGGGCAGGGCCCUCUGGGCCCUCCUCCUGACCACACUUGGCUCUGUGGCCAGCCAGCCGCUGGGGGGAGAGUCUGUCUGCACCGCCCAGCCCCUGGCCAAGUACAGCAUCACCUUCACGGGCAAGUGGAGCCAGACAGCCUUCCCCAAGCAGUACCCCCUGUUCCGACCCCCCGCACAGUGGUCCUCCCUGCUGGGGGCAGCGCACAGCUCCGACUACAGCUUGUGGAGGAAGAACCAGUACGUCAGCGACGGGCUCAGGGACUUUGCUGAGCGGGGCGAGGCCUGGGCCCUGAUGCGGGAGAUGGAGGCUGCCGGGGAGAAGCUGCAGAGCGUGCACGAGGUGUUCUCGGCGCCCGCCUUGCCCAGUGGCACCGGGCAGACGUCCGCGGAGCUGGAGGUCCACUCGAGGCACUCGCUGGUGUCCUUUGUGGUCCGCAUCGUCCCCAGUCCAGACUGGUUUGUGGGCGUGGACAGCCUGGACCUGUGCGAUGGGGACCGCUGGAGGGAGCAGGUUGCUGUGGACCUUUACCCCUACGACGCCGGGACCGACAGCGGCUUUACCUUCUCCUCCCCCAACUUCGCGACCAUCCCGCAGGACACGGUGACGGAGAUAACCUCCUCCUCUCCCAGCCACCCCGCAAACUCCUUCUACUACCCCCGGCUGAAGUCCCUGCCCCCCAUCGCCAGAGUGACCCUGGUGCGACUCCGGCAGAACCCCAGGGCCUUCGUCCCGCCCGCCCCAGGCCCCGCGGGCGCCGGCGGGGGCAAUGAGAUCGUGGACAGCCUCUCAGUUCCAGAAACUCCGCUGGAUUGCGAGGUCUCUCUGUGGUCAUCCUGGGGGCUGUGUGCAGGUCCGUGUGGGAAGCUGGGAGCCAAGAGCAGGACUCGCUACGUCCGCGUGCAGCCUGCCAACCACGGGGCACCCUGCCCGGAGCUCGAAGAGCAGGCCGAGUGCAUCCCGGACAACUGUGUCUGAGGCCAGAGCCCUGCGGGCCCUCCACCCUGCGUGGGGGCCACGCCCGGUGGUUCAGCGGGCCAAGGGGGGCUUUGUCCAGCAGGCCUCUGAGCUCCAACGCUGACCGACCCCUCCGCGCAGACGUACCUUCGGCUGCUGGAGGCAGCAGGAUGUGGGGAGAGGCGUCUCCUUUCAGCAAGCUUUCCUCUCGGGCGCCCGGUCCUGGGACCCACUCUCAUGGGGAGUAGAUUCUCAGCCAAUACCUUGGGUGUGUCCUGCUGAACAGACUCGGGGUGUUCACUAAGAGGAGAGACUCGUCGGAGAGACGUUCUUAGCAGAUGUUCCCUGUGGAUCUCUGGACAUGUCAUCUCGGGGCACAACUGAGAUACUUCACAAUACCGCACUUUCCAGCAGUGGGCUGCCAGCCUGCGUUCCUCAGAGGCCAUGUAGAAACAAACACCCUUUACAUCACGCGCUCACAUUAAGGAUAAAGCAAGGAGUCAAAAGACAAGGGGACGAUGCCAGGGUGGGACGCAUCUGUGAGGGGAGAACCUGUCUCCCGAUCUGGGCGAAGGAUGCAGGGGCAAAAUGUGUCUGACCCUGAAUAUACUGAAGGCUUGCAAGCCCCGGGGAAGGCUUGGAU